rnacentral:rRNA from 1 species
AGUGAACGCUGGCGGCGUGCUUAACACAUGCAAGUCGAGCGGAAAGGCCCUUUCGGGGGUACUCGAGCGGCGAACGGGUGAGUAACACGUGAGUAAUCUGCCCCUGGCUUUGGGAUAGCCACCGGAAACGGUGAUUAAUACCGGAUACGACCACUUCUCGCAUGGGAUGGUGGUGGAAAGUUUUUCGGCCAGGGAUGUGCUCGCGGCCUAUCAGCUUGAUGGUGAGGUAAUGGCUCACCAUGGCUUCGACGGGUAGCCGGCCUGAGAGGGUGACCGGUCACACUGGGACUGAGACACGGCCCAGACUCCUACGGGAGGCAGCAGUGGGGAAUAUUGGACAAUGGGCGGAAGCCUGAUCCAGCAACGCCGCGUGAGGGAUGACGGCCUUCGGGUUGUAAACCUCUUUCAGCAGGGACGAAGCGCAAGUGACGGUACCUGCAGAAGAAGCACCGGCCAACUACGUGCCAGCCGCCGCAGUAA